UACGUAGGGUGCAAGCGUUAAUCGGAAUUACUGGGCGUAAAGCGUGCGCAGGCGGUUGUGUAAGACAGAUGUGAAAUCCCCGGGCUCAACCUGGGAACUGCAUUUGUGACUGCAAGGCUAGAGUACGGUAGAGGGGGAUGGAAUUCCGCGUGUAGCAGUGAAAUGCGUAGAUAUGCGGAGGAACACCGAUGGCGAAGGCAAUCCCCUGGACCUGUACUGACGCUCAUGCACGAAAGCGUGGGGAGCAACAGG
rnacentral:rRNA from 1 species